ensembl:lncRNA
UGCCUCUGGCAGUGAACAGAAGAAAGCAGCCAAGGGUUCACUCCCCCGAGCCAGCACGCAAGGGUGUCCGUGCAGCUGGACUUUCAGGUGUGUCACGCUGGGGCUGAGGCCUCCGGAGGGACUCCUAGAAGGGAGGCGUGCGUGUAAAGCGCCAUCCCUCAGCAGCCCACGAUCUCGGACGGUUUGCCACUGUGGCCAGUGUUUUAUUGAUGCUUCUGAGGCCAUAGAGCACGCACGGGGAAGUUCUGAGCACACGGAGGACAAGCCAGGGCGGUGCUGUGUGGCCGCAGUCAACCCUAAGUAGGGGUCCGAGUGGGGGACGGUCGCUAACACCUCGAUUCCUCAUGUCUGUGUUUCUGCAGCUUGGAGCUUGGAGAGUGUGUGUGAGAGCGACCUCGCUGACAGCAACCUCGCAGAAAGUGAUCGAGACUCGGUGGCGGAGCGCACCGACUGCCGCCAGGAUGAGGAGGCUGCAGGUAGGGAAGAGCACGCAGCUGGGAUCCAGGGGGAGAGGGUUCCUGGGAGCAGCUGGGUUCCACCUGCUGCCGGGAGAGGGCGGAAGGGGGCUAGGACUUGGGUGGGUGGCCUACUGAGCGGAACUCCGCUGUGGUGUUUUCCCCUCUGAAGUUGCUAAGCCGAAGACGACUUGGGUCCCUGGUCUUUGUUGUGCUGUGUUUGGAUUCGUGUCUCCUUCCUUUGAGAGGGAGAAUGGCUUUUCCCUCCCGAAGCGGCUCCUUCCAGCUCUUGUCUCUGGCCAUGGUGCCAGCUUGCUUUGUGGGUCGCACCCUGAGGGUCCUGUGCACAAGAGCUGUUGACUUAGUUUCCUUUGUUGCCCUUGAGGGCCCUGGUGUGGUGGGACGCAACCCUCUCCUAGGCCCUUGACCCUGGAGACCAAGUUUGCCUGGUGAGUGUCAGGUGGCGGUGAGAAGGCAGGUCUCUCCUCUGCACGUUUGGGAUUUCUGGCCUCCCUGUCCUGGUGUGUCCUCGCGGUGUGUCCUGAGGGAAGGGGCGUUCCCAGAGUUGGAUGCCCAGACCUGGGACGUGAGGCGCAGAGAGAUCUACGUCCCCUUCCUGGCAUUUUUUUCUUCUACAGGGGAUGUGAGGAGUUCCCUAGUGUCCUAUAGGUUAAGGGUCCAGUGUUGGAUCCCUGCUGUGGUGCAGAUUCAAGCCCUGGGCUGGGAACUUCAGCAUGCCCUGGGAGUGGUGAAAAUCAGUCAGUCGAUCAGUCAGUGGAUUGACCUCAGACCAUUCUGCAUGGUCAUUAUCUUGGUUGUCUCCGCUCCCAAGAGGCAUUUCACACAAACCCUGUGUGGGGAGGUAACGGUUGGAAGUGCACCCCAAAGAGCAAGA